GAUGAACGCUGGCGGCGUGCCUAAUACAUGCAAGUCGAGCGAACAGACGAGGAGCUUGCUCCUCUGACGUUAGCGGCGGACGGGUGAGUAACACGUGGAUAACCUACCUAUAAGACUGGGAUAACUUCGGGAAACCGGAGCUAAUACCGGAUAAUAUAUUGAACCGCAUGGUUCAAUAGUGAAAGACGGUUUUGCUGUCACUUAUAGAUGGAUCCGCGCCGCAUUAGCUAGUUGGUAAGGUAACGGCUUACCGAGGCAACGAUGCGUAGCCGACCUGAGAGGGUGAUCGGCCACACUGGAACUGAGACACGGUCCAGACUCCUACGGGAGGCAGCAGUAGGGAAUCUUCCGCAAUGGGCGAAAGCCUGACGGAGCAACGCCGCGUGAGUGAUGAAGGUCUUCGGAUCGUAAAACUCUGUUAUUAGGGAAGAACAAAUGUGUAAGUAACUAUGCACGUCUUGACGGCACCUAAUCAGAAAGCCACGGCUAACUACGUG
rnacentral:rRNA from 1 species